CCCAGACUCCUACGGGAGGCAGCAGUGAGGAAUAUUGGUCAAUGGGCGGGAGCCUGAACCAGCCAAGUCGCGUGAGGGAAGACGGUCCUACGGAUUGUAAACCUCUUUUGCCGGGGAGCAACGGGGUCCUUGCGAGGGCCCGAUGAGAGUACCCGGAGAAAAAGCAUCGGCUAACUCCGUGCCAGCAGCCGCGGUAAUACGGAGGAUGCGAGCGUUAUCCGGAUUUAUUGGGUUUAAAGGGUGCGUAGGCGGAAUGCCAAGUCAGCGGUAAAAUCGCGGGGCUCAACCUCGCUCCGCCGUUGAAACUGGCGUUCUUGAGUGGGCGAGAAGUAUGCGGAAUGCGUGGUGUAGCGGUGAAAUGCAUAGAUAUCACGCAGAACUCCGAUUGCGAAGGCAGCAUACCGGCGCCCAACUGACGCUGAAGCACGAAAGCGUGGGUAUCGAACAGGAUUAGAUACCCCAGUA
rnacentral:rRNA from 1 species